GCUGUCAUCUGAAGGAUGUUUCAUACUGCUGCAGACCAGGAAAAAAGGCCUCUUCUGGGAUCUCAAGCCUGAAUAAGAGAAUGAAUAUGGCUUUUUCUUGGGUGUCUCGGUUGUCUCUGCUACCUCCUUAUGUUUCCUCAUGAUGGUACCUCUUCCCUGCCUUUCGGGGUGACUUUAGUUUUUCCCAGUGUGUAAGCAGAGAGUGUUAAAUGUUUCCUUGUCAGGGCUGUACACUGGGCUCACCUGCUGCUGCUUUGCCUUGCAGGAAGCACUUAUGGUGCAGAUUCUGCUGGUUAUUUCAUGGGGAGGCAGAAAGUGCCUUCAUGCAGCAUUGAGCUAGGGGUGAUGGCUUCUGUGUAGAGAUGGGGCUCUUUGGAGGAAAUCAGAGCUUUUGCUGCUGUUGUUUGUCCUUUUGUGCAAAGCUUCCUAUCAGAGAUGAGAUCCUCUAGUGCUGACUGUGUUCAGAUAACGUGCAUGAGCACAUGCCAGAAACAUCAGUGUACAGAGCAGCAGUGGAAUCAAGACCGGCUCUUCUGCGAGCUGUUAGAUUACACUAAGCAUUGUGGUUUAUUUACUCCUUGUGCCAUUUCCUCCCAGGAUCUCUCGAGUUUCUACAGAGAGACCUCUCCAGUGAGUGAUGAAGUGGAGACCAGGCAGCAACUUUGGUUCCCUUCUGCACAACAAUAUACAAGCCAGAGACUUCCUAGGGAACAGGAAGCAAAAGGAGAGUCUUGGUGAGACAACGUGUAGGGAGAGCUGGCAGCCAGCCAAAAGCUCCAUCCAGCUACAAGAAGUUUGUAGGCUGUGAAACCACACAGACAAAUAUCCAUCACUGGAAAACACCACUGAUCUACAGACAAGCUUGGUUCUGGCUGACCGUUGUGCCCCACACCAGACUCCAGAAUGUCAGUGCCACUGGAUUACACCAUUCUGCUGGAGAAGUCUGUUCAAGUUUCUGUUCAGAUCUUCAGGUAAGGUUAAAUUUAUUUUUAUUUCUGAAACACAGAGUAGUUAGAAGCAAGCUCAGGGUCACAGAUGGCAGCUCAACCUUGCAGCAGAACGCAGCAUCCUUUUCCUCCUGGCCUAAACAGUUGAGUAUCAUUUGCUAUGUCAGCCUGCAAAUGCAGGGAUAAAUUUCAUUGGAUGAAGUGAUGCCUGAGCAUGGAUGAAAAACAGAUGAAAGCUUAGCAUAGGUGAGCUACUUGACAUACAGUUAGAUAAAUUUAAGCAUAUUUUUUAAUGGUGACUGUUUAACAGUUGGCGCCAAUUACCAAGGGAUGCAAUGCUUUUUUUUCUAUCACUUAAAGCCUAUGAAGAAACCAUAUCUUUCUGUCUCAGCCAAAACAGUUGGUUUUGAGACAUUCAAGAACACUUCUAUGCAGUGUAAGUGAUCAUUAAUAGCCCUGGCUGGUCUCUUGAAAUCUGGAAGUCUAAACGCUGUCAUUUUAAAGCUGCUUGGCAUUCUUUAGAAUAGAUAUCACUGUCUUUAGACAGUUCUUCCCAUCUCCUCAAUCUGUUUUCCCAUUAUAUUACCAUGGGCAUGUCUUAAUGAAACCAAAAAGCAGUCAGGAGCUGUAUUUAUUAGAGGCUUCUGUAUGUCUGUAUAAUGUGGAAUGGUAGCUUUCGCCAAACACAGAGGUUGGUGUUUGAAGAGGCUUUGUGCUGAGGUCAUGGCUUGCUAAGAGUUUCUUCUGGUAGCAGUACUAUCAUAAGCAUCUACCAUUCACACCUGCUGCUUUUUUGUUUGCUUCUUUUCUUCUUCUUUUUUUUUUUUUUCUUCCAGCUGCAAUAGCUUGUACCUUGAGGGCUUUCUCACUGACUUUGAGGAAUAGUUCUCUUCUUUGUGGGGCUAGCUGAUCUCCUGUCUCAAGACCAGUUUAAGAGUGUAGGUGCUAGGGGAUAAGCUGGCUACUCUUGAAAGAGGCACCUGUUUGGAUUUUCUUUGUCAGGUGGGAGCAGACGAUCAUAGAAAGAGAUCAACCAAGAAUCAUAGAAUCAUAGAAUCACAAGGUUGGAAACAACCUGCAAGAUCUUCUGGUCCAGCCAUCCUCCCACCACCACUGCUACCACAAGCACUAAACCAGAUCUCACAGCUCCUCAUCCAGACAUCUCUUGAGCAC